GAGGAUGAAUCAUUAUCUUCAGAAGAAGAUUCACUCUCAGAUGAGGAUGAAGAAGAGGAUGAAUCACUACCUUCAGAAGAAGAUUCACUCUCUGAGUCAGAUGAAGAAGAGGAUGAAUCACUAUCUUCAGAAGAAGAUUCACUCUCUGAGUCAGAUGAAGAAGAGGAUGAAUCAUUAUCUUCAGAAGAAGAUUCACUCUCAGAUGAGGAUGAAGAAGAGGAUGAAUCACUACCUUCAGAAGAAGAUUCACUCUCUGAGUCAGAUGAAGAAGAGGAUGAAUCACUAUCUUCAGAAGAAGAUUCACUCUCUGAGUCAGAUGAAGAAGAGGAUGAAUCAUUAUCUUCAGAAGAAGAUUCACUCUCAGAUGAGGAUGAGUCACUUUCAUCUGAUGAAGAUCCACUUCCGGAUGCUUCAGA